ACAGGCAAACUGAAGGGUUUUCUCACAAGCUAACGCAUAACUUACCAAAGACUAUAAUCUUUUCAACAGUGUCAGGAAUGCUCUAGGUAAAUCGCUCUCCUCAGAAUGCUCUUCAGACAUUUUCAGUGUACUCGAGCAUAUUUUGUUCACUGUUUAUUUUUCUCCAUGUCUUCGAUCCCUCUUUUAAUAUUUUUCACAAUGAUGACGGUUUGAGUCAAAAUUCUUCCAUAAUUUUUUGAUCUUCAAAGUUCUUUUUCCUUUCACAUAGACAAUGUUUAUUUCCCCAUAGCUAGGUUCCUCAUGAAUGAUGGAGCAUCUGCAGAGCAGCUCUCAUAUUGCAGGUUUGUUCCUGGCUCACUUGAAGAAGCAGCUUAAUCAGAAAUACUCUCCUCACAAAAUAGCGUUGGUUUUGCAGGACUUGGGAAGCCUGCAAUUACACUGCCAACUGUCGAGCAUUAUCAUAACUUUUGACACGGACCAAAUUACAUCAGCAACAGAACAACACAAGACGCCCGCAUCACCCGAUAGGCUAAAAUAUGAUGAGUUCUUUCUAAUGAUGAUUUUAAGUAGAACUACACCAAAAGUGAAAAGGUCAGAUUUAACAGGCAAAAAUCAAUCUAUUGCCAACUCUGGACAAAUAUAUUCAGCAUAAAAAAAGUUUGUUUGAAAAAGGAAUCUUUCGUUUAUAGUAGUAUAUCCUUAUGUGUUGUCAAAAUAAAAGCUAGAAUUAUAGAGGCAGUUGAAGGUGGUGAUGGUGAACGUUGAUUUGAUAUUCGCAUUGAUUAAAAGAGAAAAUUUCUUAAAAGAACAAACAAGAAGUAGCUCAUGGCCCCUGUAGAACUGAGUGCUGUUUCAGACAAGCCUUCACGGCACUAAACAUUCUGAAUUGCUGGUACUCUCAACUGGAAUACUUCCUUCAGGUUUACUGGAAGAAGUAGAGCUAGAAAGGCCUCUUGUCUUAAAAAAGGUUGGUUGCUUUGGAGUUGGGAGGCUUGCAGUCUCGCUUUCAAGCAUUAUCACUAUUUGUGACAUGGUGGGCCUUUCUCUUGGUUCAUCUUGUACGCACAAUAAACUCACUUGCACACACCUAAUGAAUUGAUUUAACAUCGCA